GGGGGUAGAGCACUGGAUGGGUAAUGGGGCCCCACAGGCUUACUGAUCCUAACCAAACUCCGAAUACCCGGGAGUACUAGAUGGCAGACACACUGCGGAUGCUAACGUCCGUAGUGGAGAGGGAAACAACCCUGACCUACAGCUAAGGCCCCCAAUUCAUGGCUAAGUGGGAAAGCAGGUGGGACGACCAAAACAACCAGGAGGUUGGCUUAGAAGCAGCCAUCCUUUAAAGAUAGCGUAACAGCUCACUGGUCUAAAUAAGUUGUCCUGCGGCGAAGAUGUAACGGGGCUCAAGCCAUGAGCCGAAGCUUAGGAUGCGCAUAGCGCAUGGUAGCGGAGCGUAGUGUGACAUAGAACUCUGUCUCUUUAGCCUUCCUCGGAAGGCGUUAGAGACAUGAGUUCUUUCGAAGAAGCCGGGCUGUAAGGCAUCCGGUGGAGAGAUCACUAGCGAGAAUGAUGACAUGAGUAGCGACAAAGAGUGUGAGAGACACUCUCGCCGAAAGUCCAAGGGUUCCUGCUUAAAGCUAAUCUGAGCAGGGUAAGCCGGCCCCUAAGGCGAGGCCGAAAGGCGUAGUCGAUGGGAACCAGGUUAAUAUUCCUGGGCCGUGUGGUGGUGACGGAUCGUGGCGACGCAUGUUCCUUAUCGGAUUGGAGCAUGUUCAAGACGGUUCCUGGAAAUAGCCCCACUUUAAGACCGUACCCUAAACCGACACAGGUGGACUGGUAGAGUAUACCAAGGCGCUUGAGAGAACGAUGUUGAAGGAACUCGGCAAAAUACCUCCGUAAGUUCGCGAGAAGGAGGCCCGGUGUACGAUCACCGGGGGCACAAACCAGGGGGUGGCGACUGUUUACUAAAAACACAGGGCUCUGCGAAGUCGCAAGACGACGUAUAGGGUCUGACGCCUGCCCGGUGCCUGAAGGUUAAAAGGAGGGGUGCAAGCUCUGAAUUGAAGCCCAGGUAAACGGCGGCCGUAACUAUAACGGUCCUAAGGUAGCGAAAUUCCUUGUCGGGUAAGUUCCGACCUGCACGAAUGGCGUAACGACUUCCCCGCUGUCUCCAACAUCGACUCAGCGAAAUUGAAUUGCCUGUCAAGAUGCAGGCUUCCCGCGGUUAGACGGAAAGACCCCGUGCACCUUCACUACAGCUUCGCACUGGCAUCAGGCACAAUAUGUGCAGGAUAGGUGGUAGGCUUUGAAACCAGGACGCUAGUCCAGGUGGAGCCAACCUUGAGAUACCACCCUUAUUCUGCUUGAUGUCUAACCGCGGUCCGUUAUCCGGAUCCGGGACCCUGCGUGGUGGGUAGUUUGACUGGGGCGGUCGCCUCCUAAACGGUAACGGAGGCGCGCGAAGGUUGGCUCAGAGCGGUCGGAAAUCGCUCGUUGAGUGCAAUGGCAGAAGCCAGCCUGACUGCGAGACUGACAAGUCGAGCAGAGACGAAAGUCGGCCAUAGUGAUCCGGUGGUCCCAAGUGGGAGGGCCAUCGCUCAACGGAUAAAAGGUACGCCGGGGAUAACAGGCUGAUACUGCCCAAGAGUCCAUAUCGACGGCAGUGUUUGGCACCUCGAUGUCGGCUCAUCUCAUCCUGGGGCUGGAGCAGGUCCCAAGGGUAUGGCUGUUCGCCAUUUAAAGAGGUACGUGAGCUGGGUUUAGAACGUCGUGAGACAGUUCGGUCCCUAUCUGCCGUGGGUGUAGGAUACUUGAGAGGAGUUGCCCCUAGUACGAGAGGACCGGGGUGAACGAUCCACUGGUGGACCUGUUGUUGCGCCAGCAGCAGUGCAGGGUAGCUAUGAUCGGAAAGGAUAACCGCUGAAGGCAUCUAAGCGGGAAGCCCCCCUCAAAACAAGGUAUCCCUGAGGACCGUGGUAGACCACCACGUCGAUAGGCCGGAGAUGUAAGCAUGGUAACAUGCUCAGUUGACCGGUACUAAUGGUCCGAUAGGCUUGAUUUG
rnacentral:rRNA from 1 species